UUUGAUUAAUUUUAUGCAUAUAAUUUAAUUGCAUAGAAUCCCUUGUUUGAAAUUAAAUAUAUAUUCAUCUCAAAUCAACUUAAGGGCAACAUCCAUUAACAAGAUAAGGUGGGGAUUUCAUCAUCUUUACUUAGUCCAAAAACAACCAACCAGCAUUUCGCAUAAAUUCAAGCCUAAUUAAAAUUAAGUAGACAUUGGCCCCU
rnacentral:lncRNA from 1 species